rnacentral:rRNA from 1 species
AUUGAACGCUGGCGGCAGGCCUAACACAUGCAAGUCGAACGAGUGGCGGACGGGUGAGUAAUGUCUGGGAAACUGCCCGCUGGAGGGGGAUAACUACUGGAAACGGUAGCUAAUACCGCAUACCAUCGGAUGUGCCCAGAUGGGAUUAGCUAGUAGGUGGGGUAACGGCUCACCUAGGCGACGAUCCCUAGCGGGUCUGAGAGGAUGACCAGCCAGACUGGACAUGAGAAGCGGUCGAGACGGCUACGGGCGGCAGGAGUGGGGAAUAUUGCACAAUGGGCGCAAGCCUGAGGCAGCCAUGCCGCGUGUAUGAAGAAGGCCUUCGGGGUGUAAAGGACGUUCAGCGAGGAGGCGUUACUCGCAGAAGAAGCAUCGGCUAACUCCGGGCCAGCAGCCGCGGUAAUUC